rnacentral:rRNA from 1 species
AAUCUUCCACAAUGGACGAAAGUCGGAUGGAGCAACGCCGCGUGAGCGAAUACGGNUUNNGGAUCNUNAAGCACUGUUGCUAGNNNNNAACAAGUACGGGAGUAACAGCCCGUAACUUCACGGUACAUCGUCAGCAAGCCACGGCUAACUCCCAGACAGCAGCUGAGGUAAUACGUAGGUGGCAAGCGUUGUCCGGAUUUAUAGGGCGUUAAGCGCGCGCAGGCGGUCCUUUAAGUCUGAUUUGAAAGCCCACGGCUCAACCGUGGAGGGUCAUUGGAAACUGGAGGACUUGAGUACAGAAGAGGAAGGCGGAAUUCCACGUGUAGCGGUGAAAUGCGUAGAGAUGUGGAGGAACACCAGUGGCGAAGGCGGCUUUCUGGUCUGUAACUGACGCUGAGGCGCGAAAGCGUGGGGAGCAAACA